rfam:Gossypium raimondii Chr01_contig_10, whole genome shotgun sequence.
UGUUAAAAAUUUCAUCCAUUUGUACUCUUAAAAACUGGCAUGGUUAACGGAAUAAUUAGAAAGUGACACAUGGACCAAUUUUUAACAGUAAAAAUAAAUAUAAUUUUUAACA